UCUUGUCCCCAUAAGUUACAGGUUAUUAAGUCCACACUCUUGUGCCAAGUAAGAAAUACCUCCCUAUAAGUUAAUUGCCAGAGAACUGGGUUCUCAAAAACAACACAGGUUACUGCCAAUGUUCUUGGUUGCCCACUAGAAAUGGAUUGUAAGACACUCCUGGUGAAGAAAGCACAUAUUCUCAUUAAAGAAUAUGGAACUGAGCUGAAGUUCCUACCUGCUGAUUCAUGUUCAUAGUUCCAGAAGGUACCAUCCAAGCUGUAGGGGGAGAGAAGUCAUCAAAGAGCUAAUCCAGAUGUGAACCCUGUACACUACAAUACAUGCUGGCCAAGAUACGCUCACGGAAUCAAUAGUGGCAUGACUAUUCCUGGUGUAACCAACUACUUUGUAAUUGGACCCGAGACCUACUCCAUUGGAGAGAAUGCAUACUUGGUACUGCAAACCUGGUCAAAAGGCUAUGACUAGGAAAGCUGUGGGCCAUAGGAGGACGUCUACUACUGAUGUUACAUUAAAGGGAAAUAUAGUAUAAGAGUAUUCCAUUGUGGGUACAUACCUCGUUUUCCACAUCCGUUUGUCAGUUGAUGACAGCGAUGAUGGUGAUGACGAUGACGAUGACGACAACUAUGACAAUGACUUCAUACUCAGGUUGAACUGGUUAAGAUGAUGCUAGAUUUCAUCCAGUGUGGACAAUGAAACACACAGCAGGGACUGUCAUCUGAAGAGAGGGAACAGGCAAUGGACUGGUGGGGAUAACCGGACAAGGAACACUGGUACUUGUAAAGGCAGGCUCUGAGGAUUGGAUUCAGGUCAUGAGGCUUGCCCGCAAGUGGCAUUUGCCAUCUCACCAGCCCUCCCCAAUCAAAGACAAUGUCCACACGAAGGAUGUUUUAAAUGAAGUUCACGCCGGUGGUGACAGAUUAUGCACUUAGACUAUCCGCUGAGCCGAACACAUCUCCAGCCCCCAGGAUGGAUGCCUAGCAAAUGCUUCUUGGGUGCAUGAAUACAAGAAGGUUAUUUAGUAAAGCAGACAAUGGAAAACUUAUGCCAUCGCAGGUCUAGACCCCAGAAGAAGCUUCAGGCAGCUACAUGAAAAUAAAAAUUGUCUUUGAACUUAGGCUGUGUUUGAAGGCCUCUGAAUUAACGGAAAUCCACAAGGUUAUAGAGCUGCAUUAUCAGUGGAUGGAAGGGAAGGAGGAGAGAGAAACUGACUCACUCCUUUGAGCUGACAAAGCAUACAAAUCACUCCAGACAAUGGAGAGAAACAAGGCACUCAGCCACGGAAGUCAGUGUGACAAAAGGGGUCUGAGCAGACGCCCUCCCUCCGGUACUGAGCUUGCCCUGUGUCUCCAUGUGGAUGUAAGCAUCUGGACUGUGUGCCUUGUGGCCCCGAUGUUGUGUCCCUCCACCUUCUUUAGGAAAAUACAACCAGAGCAGAAGCACUGGAGCAGGUCCUGGCAUGCACUGCUGUAUGUAGGAGAGACAUAGGAGGGCAGGAUGGAAGUUUACAGUAGAGAGCAAAAUGCCACGUUCCACCCGGAAGGGAGAUGGUUUGCGAGGGAUGAUUUCCUUUCUCACCAAUAGAUGAAUUUGUUAGAGCCCUGAGAACCCCCAGAAGGAUGUUAAUGCAAGUCCCGGAAUCAAAAGACUUGAAAUCAAAAGACUGAAAAUUCUGGAGUUUAAACACUACAGAUAGUAUGGAGAAAUGUAGAAAGCAGCUUGGACAAAUCUCACCUCUUCAACUGCUCAAUUCUGUCAGGAUCUAAAACUGGGAUUCUCUACAUCCAGAUUGAGAGAUAAACUUUAGGUCCACCCUCUGCAAUCCUCAAGGCGAUGCAGAGGCAACUGGUGAGCAGCACUGAGGAGGAAGUGGGGCAGAAGCUUCUCUGCCUGCAGCAUUAACUUUGACCCACAAAAUGGAUUACCCUCCUGGUGCCUUCAGAAUGAGGCAGAAUGUCAAAGAGAAGGGGAGAGGAGAGGAGAGAAAUGGCCAAGACACCAAGAAGAAAGCAGGAAAGGAGGAAAAGAAGGAACUGAAAAUUUAAGGGAGUGGUGUGAAUUAGUCCAAAGGAAGGGACUAGGUGAUGACCAACAAUGUCUCUCUGGGGAGAGUCCAGCUGAGAAAACAAGGACACAGGUAUCUGCUGCUGCAACUCUGGGGAAAGGUCUCAGGAAGAGCUGGAGUCUGCCUCCGUUUUCUAGGUCCUAGGUCUGUAAACGCCAAGUCCUCCAAGCCAACUGCCCCAUGAGCCUCUGUUCAAUUUAUUCGACUCCCGGAUCACUGUAAGAAUGCUGAGGUUACAGCUGUGUACCACCUCAUCAAGCUUUCUCCUGGGUUUCAGGGAUUGAACUUGGUUCAUCAAGUUUGUGUGGCAAGUACUUUACCCAAUGACCCAUCUACCUUACUAGCCUUAGCCCUAUGCUCUCUCCCCCACACCCCCGGGUGUGUGUGUGUGUGUUUGUCUCUGUGUUUCUGUCUCUGUCUCUCGAUCACUCUCUCUUGCUUUUUCUCUCUCCUCUUUGUCUCUCUUUCUGUGUCUUUCCGUUCAUCUCUGUCUCUGUCUCAGUGUGUGUGUAUAUGUCUGUCUGUCUUUUUCUGCCUCUUGGCUUUCUCUCUGUCUCUCUGUCUCUGUCUCUGUCUCUCUGUCUCUCUGUGUGUGUCUCUGUGUGUCUGUUUCUGUUCUCUGUGUUUCUGUCUCUCUCUUCCAUGCUCUGUGUCUGUCUCUCCCUGUGUGUCUCUGUCUCCCCCACCCCCCAUUUGUACAGCCUCACUAUGUAAGCCAGGAUGGCUUUAAACUCCUAAUCCUUCAGACUCAGCCUCCAAAGUGUGGAGAUUAUAGUCAUGGUAGCAUUGCGCCUGUCUUUUGUAUUGUUGUUUGUUAGUUUUUUCACUGAUUGCUUGGUUGGUUGAUUUCUUGAGAGAGGCUCUUACACUAGAACUCAAGCGCGAUUCAUACUUGAUAUAUAGCCCAAGCUAGCUUUGAACUCACAAUAGUAGUUCUCCUGCCUCAGCUUCCCAAAUGCUGGAUUUAUACCUUGAAUUCCUUGACUACUUCUGUGCUGUUAGAGCAGUGAAGGCUCUGGCUGCUUUUAUGUAGUUACAUGCCGAUAUAUCUUCUAAAAUUAGAAAAUAAAAUACACGGUUAUGACUAUAAGUCUGCAAAGAACCAUAGUGAAGGGGACGGACAUGCCCAGUGUGAGACUAAAGCUAUAGCUGAAUUAAUUCCUUAGUGUUCUCUGUGAGGUUAAUAACUUAUUAAUAUAAAUAGGACAAACUGCCAAGGUUUGUUUUGGAAACUUGGCCACCAGUGUGAUGAUGCUAAAGACCUUAUGGCAGACUCAGGGCAGUUGGGAUUGCAUCCUUGAGAGAGAUUUACUCUGUGUUUGUGGAGUGAGUUAGUGGUGCCCGCAUGUUACAGCUGCUCUUCAAGGGCAUCCUGCCACCGUGGUGCCAUCUCCCAUGAGGCAUUUACCAGGGCCAGUAUUGUGUCCUUGCACUCUCAAAUUAUGAGCUAAAUGCAUUUUUUAAAAAAGGGACUAGCCUCUGGCAUUUUAGUAUAGUAAGGGACUAGCCUCUGGCAUCUCAGUAUAGUAAUAGAAAACUGGCAAACACCUUGGUAAAGGUGCAGCACAAACUGAUAGGGACAGAAAUGCAUAGAUGCCAUAGAUGCCAGGAUGCCAUAGAUGCCAGGAUGACGUUCCGGCUACCAAUUAUUUGUGAUGAGCAUCUUUCCUGAGGAAGAGAGUGAUGGAUAAAUGUUAGUUAACUGAGAAUCUAUGCUGUAUGUAUGGAAUGAAGUCGUGAAAGCUGACUUGGAAUUGCAAAGCCAAGCCAUUAUCAGGAAUAGCAAUGAGGCAAAACACACACACACACACACACACACACACACACACAGAGAGAGAGAGAGAGAGAGAGAGUGCUAACCUAGGCUCAAGAGCUUUAGUGUCCUCCCUAGGAUAAAACACUUCAUUAGCAGGCAUAGGAGCAGAUGGCAUGCUCUCUUCAGUGGUCUCAUCCCCUUCUGAUAGGAGAGCAAUAAUUUGUCUUCACAGAUAUAUCAACUUAAAUCACCUAUUUUUUUUGUAGCCCUUCCAUAAACUCAUGCGGAAAGGACUUUCCUCACCUGUCAAAACAGAUGUUUUACUUCCAGGCUUUCAAAUGAAAAGUAAUUAGUUAUAAAAAUGCACAGUAAUUACUUAAAGUUGGUGUGUCCAUGUCUUGGAAAAACAAGGACCCCCAGGAGCAAACUUUUCCCCUUUUUCUGACUCAUUCGUGAUGACUCAGGUUUGGUCACUCUGGUCAGAAACUAGAAAAUAUUUGCAAGAGAAAAAAGGGUGCAUGAGAUACUAAAAAUUUUGAAAAAAAAAAAGAAGUUAAUCUUGCUGCUGACUUUUCCUAAUAUUUUGCAAAAAAAUGCUCAGUUUGGGAAUAGUUCUAUUAACAUGUUAACCAUAAAAUGGAUCAGAAACCAUGAUAUUUACUUUGCAGAAAAUACAAGGUUUGUAUGAUGUGCCCUGGUGCAUUUUUAUAGAAGUGGGUUUUAACAUGAUAAACUCUCAGAAUUGGACUGAGGAAUUAGAACCAGAUACCACAUUCUUAUAAACUGUUUCUCUUUCUGUUAGGAAUGUAUCUAUAAAGACUGGCCUUGGCACCUCUGGUAAGAAUGAGCUAGUGAUAAACCUCAUGUGUGAUGAUGGCUUCUUUCAAAGAGAAGCACCGGGAUUUGAAAGCCAUUGGUGGGGAGCAUCGUGACCCUGUCCUUCUGGAAAUCCUCACCUUGACUGCAGAGGACCUGGCUGUUGCUGUCUUAGGAAUCAGUUGGGCUUGUGCUAGUUGACAUAUCUAACAUUUCUUUGUCUUUCUCUUUUCUUAAGGAUAAUCUUUCUACACUUCACAAUGUUCAGAUUCUCCAGAGUUCUAGACUUGACCCACCGUUCAUCCUAAUCCUCUGGACUUCUAACCAGAUCCCUUCUCUCCCUGAGCCUUCAUUAUCAGCCCUCAUAGACUCCCUAGCUCAUGGUAGAGCCAUGUCAGAUUCCCACUGAAUGGUUCUAGCCAAUGGACCUCAGACACUUAGAUUCCUCCUCACAAAGCUAAUCUCUUGUCACUUUUCUUUUAUGAAAGAUCAAUCACCUACUCCAGAAACUCCUAAAAGGAAACAAAAUACAAAUAACAUAAACAAGAGUCAGCAGUGUUUUUUUCCAAAUCAAUUUAUGCCUGUUGUAUUUUCUAUUUAAUAUUAUAAAGCAUUAAAUAAUAUAAAAGCCAAAGAAAUAUAAGAAUGAAAAGAAAAACAUCUAUUUUAUGAGAAUUAAUAAACAUUUGGGUAGAAUCUAUAAAAGAGAGUACUAUAUAAUAAAGUAUAAGGAAGAUGUCAUAAAAUUAGAAGAUAUCAAAAUAUUCAUAAAUAUACAGAGCAGUUUAUUAUUAUGCUUCUCACCAGUUGUCUGUAUCUUUUUAUUCCAUUAAAAAAUGGAAACUGGGGCUGAUGAGAUGGCUCAGUGGAUAGGAGCACCGACUGCUCUUCCGAAGGUCCUGAGUUCAAAUCCCAGCCACCAUAUGGUGACUCACAACCACCCAUAAUGAGAUCUGACACCUUCUUCUGGUGCAUCUGAAGACAGCUACCAUGUACUUAUAUAUAAUAAUAAAUAAAUCUUUAAAAAAAUGGAAA